GUCAGGAAUGUUGGAGGCCCGACAAGACAAGAGGUCCAUAGUUGCCCUCCAGCUCUCACCUGGGUUCAAGGUACACCCCAAUUGUUGGAAGAUUUGACCAGAUGACCUUCUUAAACCACAACGUCCCAAACUCCAUAAUAGUCUGAAUAUUGUCACGACUGGCCAUCUUUCAUCAUGAUUAGGUUCGACUGUAAAGUAGGUCCAGGUACAGCACAGCGUCACGAAGGAAAAAUACAAGAUAUUGCUGCGAGAGGGGAAAUAUUGAAAAUAGCCCUCAACAUCAUAUUCAUGGAGUAGCACGAACGGGAAAAAUUGUUACGAUAAAAUCAGUAAAUGUACAGUUUAUAUUUUUUGUUUUAAGAAUUAAAAAUAUAAUGGCAAUAAUUACCUCUUUUAUCGCGCCGCACUAAAGUUAAGCGGUCAAUAUGAUGAGAUUUUUAUUUUGCCUCUGUUAGAAGCAGUUAUGUUUUUAGAAAUGUAUUUUACAUGAUUGGUUGACAUAAAUAUUUCCGUUGAACUGCAUCAGUAUGUCACGAACAAAAUAUAAAUAUGCGUGAUAA